AACAAAGCCAGAGCUACUCUUCUGAGGAACAUGUGAAAAGGACCUGUGGAGAGCGUGCUCCUGUGACCUGGGUGACUUAACAAGGACUGCACUUCGCCAGUGUGGUGAGUGAAGCAACCGAAGUCCUCAUUCUCUCCAAUCUCUCUCUCUCUCUGCCUCUCUCUUUGUCUCUCUCUCUGUGUGUCUGUCUGUGUGUGUGUCUCUCUCUCCCUUUUCCUCUCCCUCUCUCUCUCCCUCCCUCCCUCCUUCCACAUGCAGUGUUCUCUCUCCCCUCAAUACAAGCAAGCAUUAAGAAGGCCAAAAAGAAAGUUAGAUGACAGGCCUCUUAAAGAACCCUCAUA